rnacentral:rRNA from 1 species
GGAGUCUGGGCCGUGUCUCAGUCCCAAUGUGGCCGUUCAUCCUCUCAGACCGGCUACUGAUCGUCGCUUUGGUGGGCCGUUACCCCGCCAACUGGCUAAUCAGACGCAGGCCCAUCUUUCUGCGAUAGCUUACAAGUAGAGGCCAUCUUUGGUAUCUUUCCCAUGCGGGAAACAUACGUCAUUCGGUAUUAGCACCCCUUUCGGGAUGUUGUCCCCAUCAGAAAGGCAGGUUGCCUACGCGUUACUCACCCGUCCGCCGCUUUCCACUACACAGAAUUGUCCGAAAACGCUUCAAAGUAGCUUCUCGCUCGACUUGCAUGUAUUAGGCACGCCGCCAGCGUUCAUC